rnacentral:lncRNA from 1 species
UUUUUUCUGCAUCUGCAGGAGUUUAGUAUAAAGAGGACAUAAAAAACAGCGAGGAUAUGUCUUGAUAUGUCCUGAGUGAGGGCCUUGCUGGUAUAAAUAAAAAGAGUUAACUGAAAAUGGUGGAGUCAUCCACCAGUUGAAGAUCCUGUCUGUUUUAUUUAAUCUUCAGCUCAGACCAUUGGGAUCAUGAUUUUGUUUACCUGUGUUUAAUAGGCUAAUUUCCACUGCAAUUUAAAUUUGUUUGAAUGAAUGUUGAGGAAGGACAUCAAGAUCUGAGCUUUUGCUGACCUAAUGUAUUAGAUGAACUCACUUCAGGAUAUGGUUCCUUUCUGCGCGUCAGUAUAAUUUAAUUAAGUGGAUCAAUCUAGAAUAUUGAAUGUAUUUCUUUCAGAGUAAACCUUUUAUUUAUCUCCUUCAGAAUAAAACACUUCUCUAAGGAAAAGAUGAAAAGAUUACUUUUUAUUGAUAUGACCAUGGUGUAAUAAUAAUUGAGACUCUUUGUAAGGUAUGGCAUUUUUCUGCUUCCAAGGUAUCAUGUAAGCACAUUAUCACUGCCUGUAAAUGACAGACUCUCCAGACUAACCUCAUUCAGUCAAGAACCAAGGGAAUAAGCAUUGCAGGAAGACUUCCAAACCCAAAGAUUUGUGAAUUACAAAGGAAGUGAAAGAGUAUGGACAGAAUACAAAGCAGCGACUGUACAAAAGACUUGGCAGCCAGCACUCCCGAGCACUCCUAGGCGAGCGAGUGGAUUUAGAGUAGCUUUUUAAUCUCUCAGCUCUGAUUUAAAAAUGAAACAGAUAGAAACAAUUAUGCAUUAAUUUUUAAUUUUAUCUAUGCUACUAUGUCAUAUUCUUUAAGUUAAUGGUGGUUUAAAACCAUUAUGCAAAGCUGUAGACUUUUUGGGCUUCCCAGAAACCUUCAAUUAUUGAAUUAAGGUGGCAGUGAAUGGCUCAGCAUUUUAUUUUCUAUAGUCAGUGAGUAUAGUAGAUGAAACUUUGCAAGUAGGAGUAUGUGACAAGAAGGUGCAGAGGGACUAUCAGCACUAGUGCCAAAGCUUGAAUGCUGUCAUAUGCUUGCAUAAAAGCAACUCUUGCAAGUGCUACUGUUGGUUGCAGAGGAAUUUCUAAUCCCAUCUGAAGUUCAUUCCAGAGGCCUGCAGCAGAAUGACAAAGUAACCUUCUAGCAAAAGAGCUGACCACUUUUGGGAUAACAAAAUGUAAACAACGAAAUGCUUUUAAAAACGAUGAUUGAGGCUGUAGCAUUUUAAUGAGUCGGCAGCUCGCACAGUGUUGCUGUACAAACAAACCGAAACCAAUACAAAUGUG